rnacentral:lncRNA from 10 species
GAAUAUUGUGAUCAUAUUUAAAAGAUGAACCUCUUCCGAUUAAUACAUCGUGUACAACAAAAAGAUUGAUGUAGAAAGAGGGAGUCCAAAAACCCUUUGUCUUUUGGAGAAAUAUGCUGAAUAUUUGUGGGUGAAAUGAUAUGAUGUCUGGAAUUUGCUUUUAAAACUUCACAACAGAAGGGGAGUGUUAGGUAGGUAUAGAUAAAUCAGGAUUGGCUUUCAGUUAAUGGUUAAAUGGGGUGCUACAUAUAUAGGAACUAAUUAUAUUAGUUUCUCUGCUUUUGUAUUUGUUUGAGAAUUUUCAUUAUAAAUAUGUUUUAUAAAAUGAGUUGUAAGAACCUGUUAUGGCAAUCAGAAAACA